UUGAAAGGGAAACGAUUGAAGUCAGUCGUACCUGUGGGUAAUCAGCCUUUUGGGUGUGAUUUUGUGGAGUGUGAGGAGUUAAACGCCUUCAUGCCUGCAUAUUCGUGCACUUUGGGUGUAUUUACCCGUGUGGUAAGUUAACAUCAAUUUCGGUGGUCAUAAAAUGGCUGGAGGAAUGUAGCUUCGAUCUUGUAUUGAAGUGUUAUAGCCUUCGGCAGAUGUGAUGAUCGGGAUUGAGGAUUGCAACGGAUACCCUUCGGGGCUACCUGCCUGAUCUCUGAUCGUUGCUCUGGUGCCGAAAGCUUGCUUACGGUUAUCAAAGUCGAUGGUCAAUAGGUUAGAACGGGUUAAAUUCGUUAAGGAUGUUGACGUA
rnacentral:rRNA from 1 species